GUGUUUUAGAAUAAAUUCAUUCCAGUUAAUAUGAAAAUGAGAAGCCAGAAAUUAUGAAGGAUGCUUAUGGAUGCAGUUCUAGUGAUUCACUAAAUCUGUCUGUUAAUCUAGCAAACCCAGCAUGGACAGAUAAAAAAUAGAGAUUUCUCAGUGAGACCAAGCACUUUCUAUAAAAUGUUUUGACAUCUAAUGAGUUUUCAGGGUUUGAAGAGAUAACUAUGGUAGAAAGCAACGGAAACUGAUGAAUAUGCAGAGCAACUGGAACUCUCAUAC
rnacentral:lncRNA from 12 species